rfam:Triticum aestivum genome assembly, contig: Triticum_aestivum_CS42_TGACv1_scaffold_641477_T_3AL-0.153120_7AL-0.133792
UGUGUACUCCUUCCGUCCGAAAAUACUUGUCAUCAAAAUGAAUAGAAAGGGAUGUAUCUAAACAUAUUUUAGUUUGAGGUACAUCUCUUUUUAUCCAUUUUGAUAACAAGUAUUUUCGGACAGAGGGAGUACUUG